UGCUAUACUAUCAAAGUUUAAAGGUAAAUUAUUGUGUAGUAGGAGAUGGUAUAAAAUGUAUGUUCUAACGUGUAGGAUGUAUGCAAAGAUUAGAGGAAACAAAUUUUUAUGUCUUCUGUUUGACUGUUUACCAAAUAAUAUUUGGUUUUAUUUUCCUGGGAUCGGUGAAUUUUAAAUUUGGAGUCCUCUAUGCUAAGGAUGGUCAGCUUACAGGUGAUGAAAUGUUCAGUCAUGGGCAGGGAAGGACUCUCGUAUCCCGGUCGUCAGACUCAGCGCUGCCCGAGAAGAUACAGAGACUGUAAAAAUCAUAAGAAGCAACUAGGACUGCAGAGGAAACAAACUGGAGAGAACAAAAGGUGAUAUUGUUCUCCUUAGCCUGGAUUAGAAACAUCCACUGCGCUUUGAUGCCGGUGGCUGCCAGGGGCUCGUUAGGUCUCUUGAGGCAGGUGUAGGUGUUCACUUGUAGGUUCUAUUUUUUGGCAAAGGACCACGAGAGAAGUUUAUUUAUAGAUCCAAAUAAACAUUCAUCUUAUCUGAACAUAA